UGAAAUCUAUUCAUCUUACAGAAAUGGAGAGCAAAUCUAUUCCGUUUACAUUUCUCAUCUUGUGCCUAGUAGUUCUCUCUCCAACAUUGCCAUCUGAAGCUGCUCGCUUCAAUCAAAGAGGUAAAUUUUUUGUUAUAAUAUUUCCUCUAACUUCUUUCCUGCUGUAUUUCAAUCUUUCUUGAUAUCUCAUAUAUAUUAUCAUCUGUUGUGAUUGUAGAGCUUCUUCAGCAUAUAUAUCCUCGCAUCAUAUGCGCUACUUGCGUGUGUUCCCCUGGAUAUGUUCCACCAGGAAAAUGUUGUAAAUGUUUGGUUACUCCAAUUGGGCCAGUUUCAUCUCCAUGAUCAUUUCUUGUGUUGCCAUGCAUGGUUGUGUAAGACUGAGAGAUUAAACUGAUUAUUUCAGUUUGACGUAAUAAAAUAAAUAAGGGUAGUAAAGCACGUUUGCUUUAAAUGUAUUUCACUAUUUGUAUGUACUAUUUAUAUGAAAUGAAUAAAGCUCGAGGAUGAAUUUUGUAUUGAAU
rnacentral:lncRNA from 1 species